UCCAGUUUAACACUGGCAGUCUCCCUAGAGUCCCCAACUUAAUGCUGGUAACAAGGGACGUGGGUUGCGCUCGUUACGGGACUUAACCCAACAUCUCACGACACGAGCUGACGACAGCCAUGCAGCACCUGUCUCUCGGUUCCCGAAGGAAAAACCGACUUUCAUCGGCGGUCCGAGGAUGUCAAGGCCAGGAUAAGGUUCUUCGCGUAGCAUCGAAUUAAACCACAUGCUCCACUGCUUGUGCGGGUCCCCGUCAAUUUCUUUGAGUUUUAACCUUGCGGCCGUAAUCCCCAGGCGGGAUGCUUAACGCGUCAGCUUGGCUACUGAAAGGGUUAACACUUCCAACAGCUAGCAUCCAUCGUUUAGGGCGUGGACUAC
rnacentral:misc_RNA from 1 species